GGGGGUGUAGCUCAGUGGUAGAGUACUUGACUGCAGAUCAAGUGGUCCUUAGUUCAAUUCCUAAGUGCCCCCU
rfam:Pelodiscus sinensis unplaced genomic scaffold scaffold872, whole genome shotgun sequence.